rnacentral:rRNA from 1 species
UACGUAGGGUGCGAGCGUUGUCCGGAUUUAUUGGGCGUAAAGAGCUCGUAGGCGGUUUGUCGCGUCGGCCGUGAAAUCUCCACGCUUAACGUGGAGCGUGCGGUCGAUACGGGCAGACUUGAGUUCGGUAGGGGAGACUGGAAUUCCUGGUGUAGCGGUGAAAUGCGCAGAUAUCAGGAGGAACACCGGUGGCGAAAGCGGGUCUCUGGGCCGAUACUGACGCUGAGGAGCGAAAGCGUGGGGAGCGAACAGG